GAGUUUGAUCCUGGCUCAGAACGAACGCUGGCGGCAGGCCUAACACAUGCAAGUCGAACGCUCUAGCAAUAGAGAGUGGCAGACGGGUGAGUAACACGUGGGAAUCUUCCUAUCGGUACGGAAUAGCUCAGGGAAACUUGGGGUAAUACCGCAUACGCCCUUCGGGGAAGGAUUAUCGCCGAUAGAUGAGCCCGCGUCUGAUUAGCUAGUUGGUGAGGUAAUGGCUCACCAAGGCGACGAUCAGUAGCUGGUCUGAGAGGAUGACCAGCCACACUGGGACUGAGACACGGCCCAGACUCCUACGGGAGGCAGCAGUGGGGAAUAUUGGACAAUGGGCGCAAGCCUGAUCCAGCCAUGCCGCGUGAGUGACGAAGGUCUUCGGAUUGUAAAGCUCUUUUGGCGGGGACGAUAAUGACGGUACCCGCAGAAUAAGCCCCGGCUAACUUCGUGCCAGCCGCCGCGGU
rnacentral:rRNA from 1 species